rnacentral:rRNA from 1 species
CUACGGGCCGCUGCAGUGAGGAAUAUUGCACAAUGGGGGGAACCCUGAUGCAGCAACGCCGCGUGGAGGAUGACGCAUUUCGGUGUGUAAACUCCUUUUAUAUGUCAAGAAAAUGACGGUAGCAUAUGAAUAAGCACCGGCUAACUCCGUGCCAGCAGCCGCGGUAAUGACGGAGGGUGCAAGCGUUACUCGGAAUCACUGGGCGUAAAGGACGCGUAGGCGGGUUGGAAAGUCAGGUGUGAAAUCCUACAGCUUAACUGUAGAACUGCACUUGAAACUUCUAAUCUAGAGUAUGGGAGGGGGAGAUGGAAUUAGUGGUGUAGGGGUAAAAUCCGUAGAUAUCACUAGGAAUACCGAAAGCGAAGGCGAUCUCCUGGAACAUUACUGACGCUAAGGCGUGAAAGCGUGGGGAGCAAACAGGAUUAGAUACCCGGGUAGUC